AAAAUUCACUAGGAACUAAAUUGCAAAAAUAAAAAUUUUUAGGGUCAAAAAUAUAUUUUUUAAAAGUUUAGGGGUCCAAAUUAAAUAAAAGAUAAAGUUCAGGAACCAAAUUACAAUUAAAUUAAGCACCAAAGUGAAAUAAAUCCAAAAUUUAUGGGCCACAAUAAAACUACCCCAAAGAUUAGGGGCUAAAGUGCAAAAUUUAUUUUUUUGAUUUUUGUAAGAAAAGCACUUUGGGUCAUUUAUUUUUAUUUGCUUGCUCCGGCCUGAAAGAAAAAUGUGGGCUGUUUUUAUGAAAAUUAAAUACAAGCCCGGAUGAAAAGCCCAAACAAAAAGACUCUAGCCCAACCGAAAUUAAAGUGAGAAGCCCAUCAAAAAUUAAAAAUUAGCCCAAUCAUUUUUUUCUUCAUUUUCCUUCUUUUUUUUUUCUUUUCUUCUUCCCCCUCUGUUUCUUCUUUCUCUAUGGUGAAGUUGAAACUUCCUCAGCUGGUGGCCAUGAUGGUCCGCCGUCUGCUGGUCACCGGCAACCUCUUCGGUCGCAAAAAUUACCAAAAUACACCCCCACUCUAUUUUUCAUGUAGAAUCCGUUUUUGGACUUGAUUUUUACAAAAAAAAAAGGAUCAAAAAUGGUGAAAAUGCCACAAAACAUCCUAGUUUUUAUUUUUUGA
rnacentral:lncRNA from 1 species